rnacentral:ncRNA from 1 species
CGACCUCAGAUCAAGCGAGAUUACCCGCUGAAUUUAAGCAUAUAAAUAAGCGGAGGAAAAGAAACCAAACGGGAUUCCCUUAGUAACGGCGAGCGAACAGGGAGCAGCCCAGCGCCAAGGCUUGACACUUGACGUGUUCAAGCGAUGCGGCGUUAGUGUAUUGGUGCAUCGUAUACUGCCUUGUGCUUUAAAUUCCUUUGACAGGGAUUCCCAGAGUGGGUGCUAGGCCCAUAAAGGCUGCGAGGCUGGUAUACGCAAACUAAUGCAUUUUAGAGUCAGGUUACUUGAGAGUGUAACCCAAAGUGGGUGGUAAACUCCAUCUAAGGCUAAAUAUUGCAGCGUGACCGAUAGCAAACAAGUACCGUGAGGGAAAGUUGCAAAGAACUUUGAAGAGAGAGUUCAAUAGGACGUGAAACCACUGACAGGCAAACGGGUGGAACCACGAAGUGUGCCUGGGAAGCAAUUCAGCUGCGAUUAGUAGUUUGUGUCACUACCAUUCGGGUUACUCUUUUGUGGCCAUGGUUAGAGGCAUAUACAACUGCGAAUUACAGUGCAUUUUGUCUUCCCAGUGCUAAAGCCACGUCCGAUUAGGUGGCUGGAAUGGCCGUAGCGGGUGAUACGAUGGAAGGUAGCUGCCUAGUGGCUUGCCAUUAGCGUAGUGUUAUAGCCUCGUGUCCAUGCCAUUACCUAGCGUGCUGAUCGGUUUAAGAACUCCAAUACCGGAGUAUUGCCAGUAAUGGGUUGUUGCGCUUUGUAUUGCUAUGGCUAGUGUGCUAUUUUGCGCUUUUGUGUCUUCGGGCAUCAUAAGACGGAGUAGUAUCAAUGGUCAUUGGUGGUAAUUGCGUGAGCAGCUUGUGCAAACAGUGGUGCGAGUAGGUCGGUCUCCACCCGACCCGUCUUGAAACACGGACCAAGGAGCCUAACACAUACGCAAGUCGCACGGUCUUGUUUAGGCCUGUGAGGCGCAAUGAAAAUAAGUUUUGCUAUGAAAUUGUUUGGCCUUAACCGGUCGGCAGUUGCAAUAGCGGCCUGCCUACUUCCUUUAUUGGGGAUAUGGUGGAGCUGGAGCGUAUGCGUUGGUACCCGAAAGAUGGUGAACUAUGCCUGGGCAAGACGAAGCCAGAGGAAACUCUGGUGGAGGUCUGUAGCGAUUCUGACGUGCAAAUCGAUCGUCAGACCUGGGUAUAGGGGCGAAAGACUAAUCGAACCAUCUAGUUGCUGGUUCCCUCUGAAGUUUCCCUCAGGAUAGCAGGCGCUCGGAUUGAACACAGUUUCAUCCGGUAAAGCUAAUGAUUAGAGGUCUUGGGGCCUAAUCGGCCUCAACCUAUUCUCAAACUUUAAAUGGGUGAGAUGCAUGACUUGCUUGAUUUGAAGCCAUGCAUUUGAAUGUAUGAGUGCCUAGUGGGCCAUUUUUGGUAAGCAGAACUGGCGCUGUGGGAUGAACCAAACGUUGAGUUAAGGCAUCAAAUGCGUACGCUCAUCAGACCCCAGAAAAGGUGUUGGUUGCUAUAGACAGCAGGACGGUGGCCAUGGA